AGGAUGAACGCUGGCGGCGUGCCUAACACAUGCAAGUCGAACGUCCUGUCUCGCAAGAGGCAGGGAGUGGCGGACGGGUGAGUACCACGUGGGUUAUCUACCGUGAGGUGAGGAAUACCGGCGAGAAAUCGCCGACAAGACCGCAUAGCCUCGGUGCAAGCCGAGGAAAGCUUUCUCGAGAGAGGGAGCGCCACACGAGGAGCCUGCGCCCGAUUAGCUAGCUGGUGGAGUAACGGUUCACCAGGGCGACGAUCGGUAGCUGGUCUGAGAGGACGAUCAGCCACACUGGGAUUGAGAACGGCCCAGACUCCUACGGGGGGCAGCAGUGAGGAAUUUUCGUCAAUGGGGGCAACCCUGAACGGGCAACGCCGCGUGCAGGAAGAAGGUUUCGGAUCGUAAACUGCUUUUCUUCGGGGAGAGAACGGACGGUACCCGAGGAAUCAGCCCCGGCUAACUACGCGCCAGCAGCCGC
rnacentral:rRNA from 1 species